CAAGGAAUAGUUUAUGUAGAAUUCCAGCUUUGGGUGUUGGUGGUGAGG
rnacentral:tRNA from 1 species